UAUAUUUUUCCUUUUGAAACACUAACUGGGGAGCACCAGGCAUGUCUUUCGGAGGUGGCCUCACUGUCAAUUUCCAAUGGGGGGGCGUGGUGGGAAUGGGUGGGGGGUUCUGAGCCUGAGCCAUCUGCCUGUCCCUGGGCUUGGGAGGGUGUGGGGACGCAGGGGACUUGGAGGGUGUGUUCCAAGAGCCGCUAGAGCAUUGCAGGGAAUUGGUCACGUUCAGAACUUGUAAGGUGAGCCCCACUUGCUUGUAGGGGUGUGAGGCUGGCUUUAGCUAGUAGCGGUGGGGUGCGAGGACGCGGGGAGCCGUGCCUCCACCCUCCAGUUGGGGCUGGGCCCCAUUCCUGCUGCUCUGGCGGGCUGGGGCCGGAAGAUGGUGGCCAAUGAGGAGGGGGAGUGGAGAGAACUUGAGCCAGGCCCUCCCCUCCCCCAUUUCCUCCUCUGUUUCUACACCCGCUUCUGGAAGGAGCUGGGGGAUGGCUCCUAGGCCCAAGGUGGGGGAGGGGUCCUGCUGGCUGUUGAAUUGCUGGUCUCCCCUCAGGAAUGAGUUAGGCACGUGAGCUCCAAGGGACUCGGUGUCUCAGCUGCGUAUCCCUUCGCUCCCUAAGGAAAGAUCUGGGAACUCCUUGAUGAAGAAUCUUCUUUGGCUACCGUGAAGCUUACUGGGUAGUCUUGUCUUUGUCCCUCUGCCCCAUGUUGGUCUGGUCCUGUUCCCAACUGGCUUGCCCAACUCCAGGAGCAGAGAGGCCUGGCGACUGACCCAAGCUGGGCCUUGGUUUCUGUCCAUUAGAACUGUGCAAACUGUGGGGCAGGGCCCAGUGUUUGCUGAUUACAAGAAUAAACUGC
rnacentral:lncRNA from 1 species